GCCCAGGUAGCUCAGUUGGUAGAGCAGGGGACUGAAAAUCCCCGUGUGGGCGGUUCGAUUCCGUCCCUGGGCA
rnacentral:tRNA from 1 species